rnacentral:rRNA from 1 species
AGUGAACGCUGGCGGUAUGCCUAACACAUGCAAGUCGAACGGCAGCACAGUAAGAGCUUGCUCUUACGGGUGGCGAGUGGCGGACGGGUGAAGAAUACAUCGGAAUCUACUUUUUCGUGGGGGAUAACGUAGGGAAACUUACGCUAAUACCGCAUACGCCCUACGGGUGAAAGCAGGGGAUCUUCGGACCUUGCGCGAUUGAAUGAGCCGAUGUCGGAUUAGCUAGUUGGCGGGGUAAAGGCCCACCAAGGCGACGAUCCGUAGCUGGUCUGAGAGGAUGAUCAGCCACACUGGAACUGAGACACGGUCCAGACUCCUACGGGAGGCAGCAGUGGGAAAUAUUGGACAAUGGGCGCAAGCCUGAUCCAGCCAUACCGCGUGGGUGAAGAAGGCCUUCGGGUUGUAAAGCCCUUUUGUUGGGAAAGAAAAGCAGCAGGUUAAUACCCCGCUGUUCUGACGGUACCCAAAGAAUAAGCACCGGCUAACUUCGUG